rnacentral:misc_RNA from 1 species
UGCGCAACAACUUCCACCUGGCUUACCUUUUCAGUUUUUUGUUUGGGCUUGUAUCGCCUGGAUAGAAUGUGGGUUUCAUGUGCCGCCUACCUAAUUUAUGGUAUUGUCCCGAUUUAUCAGUGCCCCGUUUCAUCUUGUGGCAUACACAUGACAUUAGAUGAACCAURAAGCUCUCUCUUUGAACCACACCAUCGGCUUUGAUGUUGUGGAACAUUGAGCAUUGCUUGGUCUCUUGGAUACGGAACCUUAUGUGGGCAUGGGGUCUCUCUUGAGAUCCUUCCUUUGCCCUCAUCAAGCGUUCACGCUUCUCUUAAAAUGACUUACCGACGUGUAGUGGCUCGUACCAGCAUGUCGGGUUUGGUCAAAGAGGAAUGC